rnacentral:misc_RNA from 1 species
UCUCCGUAGGUGAACCUGCGGAAGGAUCAUUACAGAGUUCAUGCCCUCACGGGUAGAUCUCCCACCCUUGAAUAUUUAUACCUUAGUUGCUUUGGCAGGCCGUGGAAACACCAUGGGCUCCGGCUUAUGCGUGCCUGCCAGAGGAAACAAACUCUGUUUUUAGUGAUGUCUGGGUACUAUAUAAUAGUUAAAACUUUCAACAACGGAUCUCUUGGUUCUG